AUUCUAUUUUUCUUUUUAUUCAUUUAAUUUCCUUUUCUUCCAAAAUUAAUAUUAAAUAGCUCCUUUAUUAUUUUUUAGUCCAACUUUUUUCCAUAAUUUCAUAAAAAUAUUUUCUAUCACAAACCAUUUUUGCAUAAUUUUGAAAAUCAUUUUUUCAUUUAAUUAAUAUUUUCUCUUAUUUUUCAUUUCAUUUUAUUUCCACAUUUUUAUUGUAUUCACUUUAAAACAUUUUUCGCCCUAAAUUUUGAGGUCAAGUCACCCUAUAUUUUGUUGAACUUCUCCAUUUUUCUUGAAUUUUAUUUUAUGAUUUGCUACCUAUUUUACAUUUUCUCUUUCAUUUUAUUUUAUUAAUCAUUACUAAUUCAUGCUUAAUCUUUUUUGUUUUCUUUUUUAUGAUCACUUGAGGUUAAUUCAACCGUCUUUGAUCCAAAACUGUUGAUAGAUGAUCAUGAAUCAUCUUCAAUACUUUGCUUCAGUGAUAGGUUAAACCUCGAUUUUUGAUAUUUUGAGUCAUUUGGUUUGUGGAUAGAAUGAUCCCUCUGUGAUUGGCUUGAUUCUUCUUUUCACUCUUUCUAUCUUCAUCUCCUCUCUUAUUUUUAAUCAUUGUGUUACAUGUGUUAGGAGAUUAAAUUUGUGAUAAUUCUCUAGUAUGUCUGACCCAUACAUUAUUAUUGACUGACCUGAAAUAGAUAUAACUUCUACAUAAGCAUACUUACGAUUUCUUAACAUAACGCUAAAUUGACCCGACACAAUUAAUUGACCAUUAACUCCUAACAUUACUUCUCUGUCUUUACAUUAUUUCCAUUUAAUUCUUGUCAUUUAAUUCAAGUCAUUUAGUUUAUGUGAUUUAAUUUUAUGUCAUAUACUUAAUGCACUUUAAUUCCAGGUCCCAUUAAUCAUCAUUUCAUUUCAUACUCUACUAAUCUCGCCUUAUUCAUUUGUUGCUACAUAUCUUGUUUGACUGCUCUACUUGUUAAUCUUAAUGAAUCAAAACAUCAUAAAGUAACUUAGACCUAAUCUUAACCCUAUGCUUGACUUGGAGUGUUGAAAACCUCUUUUGGACUUUAGACUUUAACUUAGGAUUUAGGCCCUUUUCUUAACUCAUAGUAACCUUCGGCCCAUGGACCUUGUAUACAUUUUAACUCGGUUUUGUUUCUGUUAAGACUCUAAGCUUGUGUUUUGGGACCACUUAUCAUGCACGGAAAAUUGUUUCCCAUAACCCAACACAUCGGACCAUGACAUGAAACGACUUAUAAAGCUCUAAAAUCACGAGUUUCACACCAAAUUUUCACACGGAUCUGAAAUUAGCCAAGUUGAUUUACACGAAUUUAGAUCUAUUUCACACGUAUUUGAAAACCAACGAAUUCCCUAUAUAUAGAGGAAACUUUUUGCCUUCAUUUUCAAGCUUUGAAAUUCAAAGAAACUCUGAAACCAUUGAUGCCCGAUACCUCAAAUAACCAGUCAUUCUCUUUUUUGAUUUAAGUUGUUUUGCUUCUGUUUCUUUGCCCAUAAUCCUUCAUCGACACCCUCUGAAGCUAACUGAAGAACUACUUUGGCUUGAAGCUUUGUGGAACCUUGCAUCCAGAUCCGCCGUUGUUGACUUUUGAUGCUCCAAUCGAAAAGGUAGAUACGAGUUACAACUUCAAGCAAACAAGUUACGACACUCUUCGCCUUGCUCCACUGAUCAAAAGCCCUCACUUACUUAGAAUUUAUUUCCAGUAUUCAUCAUUUAAUUUUACUUUGAAGAACUAGGGUUCUUCGAGUUCCUGAGCAAAUUCUCUCUACUCAAAGCAAAUCAAUUAUUCUGAUGCAGGGAGACAUGAACGAUGAGAUAUUUUACAACUGAAUCCAUGCUUGAUUCGUGUUAAAAACAAGAGUUCAUGAAGUUACAAAAUCAAAAUCUGGAGGUUGAAGAUGAAGUUGCUUCGCGCGCUUUCGUACAAAAUUCAAAUCUCCUGGCCAAUCAGGACGUGCCACAUAACUAGCCGUUGCAUUUGAAUAAUUUUAUUUUUCUUUUUAUUCAUUUAAUUUCCUUUUCUUCCAAAAUUAAUAUUAAAUAGCUCCUUUAUUAUUUUUUAGUCCAACUUUUUUCCAUAAUUUCAUAAAAAUAUUUUCUAUCACAAACCAUUUUUGCAUAAUUUUGAAAAUCAUUUUUUCAUUUAAUUAAUAUUUUCUCUUAUUUUUCAUUUCAUUUUAUUUCCACAUUUUUAUUGUAUUCACUUUAAAACAUUUUUCGCCCUAAAUUUUGAGGUCAAGUCACCCUAUAUUUUGUUGAACUUCUCCAUUUUUCUUGAAUUUUAUUUUAUGAUUUGCUACCUAUUUUACAUUUUCUCUUUCAUUUUAUUUUAUUAAUCAUUACUAAUUCAUGCUUAAUCUUUUUUGUUUUCUUUUUUAUGAUCACUUGAGGUUAAUUCAACCGUCUUUGAUCCAAAACUGUUGAUAGAUGAUCAUGAAUCAUCUUCAAUACUUUGCUUCAGUGAUAGGUUAAACCUCGAUUUUUGAUAUUUUGAGUCAUUUGGUUUGUGGAUAGAAUGAUCCCUCUGUGAUUGGCUUGAUUCUUCUUUUCACUCUUUCUAUCUUCAUCUCCUCUCUUAUUUUUAAUCAUUGUGUUACAUGUGUUAGGAGAUUAAAUUUGUGAUAAUUCUCUAGUAUGUCUGAC
rnacentral:lncRNA from 1 species